GAGUUUGAUCGUGGCUCAGAGCGAACGCUGGCGGCAGGCCUAACACAUGCAAGUCGAACGAACUCUUCGGAGUUAGUGGCGGACGGGUGAGUAACACGUGGGAACGUGCCUUUUGGUUCGGAAUAACUCAGGGAAACUUGUGCUAAUACCGAAUGUGCCCUUCGGGGAAGAUUUAUCGCCAUUAGAGCGGCCGCGUCUGAUUAGCUAGUUGGUGAGGUAAAGGCUCACCAAGGCGACGAUCAGUAGCUGGUCUGAGAGGAUGAUCAGCCACAUUGGGACUGAGACACGGCCCAAACUCCUACGGGAGGCAGCAGUGGGGAAUCUUGCGCAAUGGGCGAAAGCCUGACGCAGCCAUGCCGCGUGAAUGAUGAAGGUCUUAGGAUUGUAAAAAUUCUUCCACCGGGGACGAUAAUGACGGUACCCGGAGAAGAAGCCCCGGCUAACUUCGUGCCAGCCGCCGCAGUAAC
rnacentral:rRNA from 1 species